rnacentral:rRNA from 1 species
UACGUAGGGGGCAAGCGUUGUCCGGAUUUAUUGGGCGUAAAGAGCGUGUAGGCGGCUUUACAGGUCCGUUGUGAAAACUCGAGGCUCAACCUCGAGACGCCGGUGGAAACCGUAAAGCUAGAGUCCGGAAGAGGAGAGUGGAAUUCCUGGUGUAGCGGUGAAAUGCGCAGAUAUCAGGAGGAACACCGGUGGCGAAGGCGGGUCUCUGGGCAAUAACUGACGCUGAGGAGCGAAAGCGUGGGGAGCGAACAGG